AGCUGGGUCGCCGUCACGCCGGCCUGGGAGGCACGUUUGGGACCGUGCGGGCCGCGCCCACGACCUCGAGCCCCGCUGUGGAGGUGCCCCGGGGCUUCGUGGCUUCAUGUGUCGGGUGGAUGCUGGCAGGAGCUGGGGAAGGAGGAGGCGAGGCCGCGAGAGGCGGAGGUGAUUUUACAGGGAAGCGCGUUAAGGACGACACAAUCAUCCCCGCGUGGCGAGGCACCUGUGCGCUCACACCAGGUUCGGCCUCCGGGAUCCCGAGAGGACACCUCCCCUGACCUCAGGACGCCCGACAACUUGGCAGGCGGGCAAAGAGACACGCGGCGAGGAGAUUCAGUACGGUGAAACGCAACGUCACGACACAACGCGAAAUACGGCGACGUGACCUGAAAUGAAUGUAAACGGUCUCGUCAGAAAAAGUUCGGGAACAAGGCGAGCCCGGGGGGGUGGACAGCUCACGGAGACCACCGGUCCGGAGUCCCCCGUCGUGAGCUGGUGGAGACCGGAAAUGGCCACGCCUCCCUCCCGGGCCGGCCCUGAGGACUGAACCAGGCGUCCACCUGGGUGCGGCCGCCCUGACAAAUCGGCACAAGAGGUGUGGCCGGCGACAACACCGAUUUAUUGUCUUGCCGUUCUGGGGGUCAGCAGCCCUAACACGAGGGUGUGGGCAGGACUGCGCUCCUUCUGGGGAAUCCAGGGGGGACUCUUCUGCCCUUUCCCCAGGGCACCUGCACUCCUGGGCUCGAGACCUCUUCCCGAAUUCUCAGGGCCAGCCGAGAAGCACCUGCCCGUCUCUUGCUCUCUGACCCUGCUUCUGUCACACGUGUCUUCUGACUCGGGCUCUCCUGCUGCCCUCCUACAAGGACCCUCGUGACGACAUGGCCCCCCCACCCAAGCCGGGACGUGGUCUCCAUCUCGAGAUCCUUCCAUUACCUCUGCGAGGUCCUCUGCCAGAUGGGGAAACUGAGGCUCAGAGAGGCGAAGUCGCAGACCAAGGCCAUACAACGAGUAACUGUCACACCGUGCCAACGGCUCCACUCCUCGGUCACCCACCCACAG